GAUGAACGCUGGCGGCGUGCCUAAUACAUGCAAGUCGAACGAGUGGCGGACGGGUGAGUAAUGUCUGGGAAACUGCCCGAUGGAGGGGGAUAACUACUGGAAACGGUAGCUAAUACCGCAUACCAUCAGAUGUGCCCAGAUGGGAUUAGCUAGUAGGUGGGGUAACGGCUCACCUAGGCGACGAUCCCUAGCUGGUCUGAGAGGAUGACCAGCCACACUGGAACUGAGACACGGUCCAGACUCCUACGGGAGGCAGCAGUGGGGAAUAUUGCACAAUGGGCGCAAGCCUGAUGCAGCCAUGCCGCGUGUAUGAAGAAGGCCUUCGGGUUGUAAAGUACUUUCAGCGGGGAGGCGUUACCCGCAGAAGAAGCACCGGCUAACUCCGUGCCAGCAGCCGCGGUAAUAC
rnacentral:rRNA from 1 species